rnacentral:rRNA from 1 species
UAGGGAAUCUUCCACAAUGGACGCAAGUCUGAUGGAGCAACGCCGCGUGAGUGAAGAAGGCUUUCGGGUCGUAAAACUCUGUUGUUGGAGAAGAAUGGUCGGCAGAGUAACUGUUGUCGGCGUGACGGUAUCCAACCAGAAAGCCACGGCUAACUACGUGCCAGCAGCCGCGGUAAUACGUAGGUGGCAAGCGUUAUCCGGAUUUAUUGGGCGUAAAGCGAGCGCAGGCGGUUUUUUAAGUCUGAUGUGAAAGCCCUCGGCUUAACCGAGGAAGUGCAUCGGAAACUGGGAAACUUGAGUGCAGAAGAGGACAGUGGAACUCCAUGUGUAGCGGUGAAAUGCGUAGAUAUAUGGAAGAACACCAGUGGCGAAGGCGGCUGUCUGGUCUGUAACUGACGCUGAGGCUCGAAAGCAUGGGUAGCGAACAGGAUUAGAUACCCUGGUAGUCCAUGCCGUAAACGAUGAAUGCUAGGUGUUGGAGGGUUUCCGCCCUUGCAGUGCCGCAGCUAACGCAUUAAGCAUUCCGCCUGGGGAGUACGACCGCAAGGUUGAAAC